AUUGAACACUGGCGGAAUGCUUUACACAUGCAAGUCGAACGAUGAAGUCUAGCUUGCUAGACGGAUUAGUGGCGAACGGGUGAGUAAUAUAUCGGAACGUAUCCAUUAAUGGGGGAUAACUAGUCGAAAGAUUGGCUAAUACCGCAUACGUCCUACGGGAGAAAGCUGGGGAUCGUAAGACCUGGCGUUAAUGGAGCGGCCGAUAUCUGAUUAGCUAGUUGGUGAGGUAAAGGCUCACCAAGGCGACGAUCAGUAGCUGGUCUGAGAGGACGACCAGCCACACUGGAACUGAGACACGGUCCAGACUCCUACGGGAGGCAGCAGUGGGGAAUUUUGGACAAUGGGCGAAAGCCUGAUCCAGCCAUUCCGCGUGAGUGAAGAAGGCCUUCGGGUUGUAAAGCUCUUUCGCAAGGGAAGAAAACUUAUCCUCUAACAUAGGGUGAGGUUGACGGUACCUUGAUAAGAAGCACCGGCUAACUACGUGCCAGCCGCCGCUGUAACAC
rnacentral:rRNA from 1 species